rnacentral:rRNA from 1 species
GUACCACAUCCAAGGAAGGCAGCAGGCGCGCAAAUUACCCAAUCCCGACACGGGGAGGUAGUGACAAUAAAUAACAAUAUAGGGCUCUUUUGGUCUUAUAAUUGGAAUGAGUACAAUUUAAAUCCCUUAACGAGGAACAAUUGAGGGCAAGUCUGGUGCCAGCAGCCGCGGUAAUUCCAGCUCCAAUAGCGUAUAUUAAAGUUGUUGCAGUUAAAAGCUCGUAAUUGAAUUUUAGGCCUGGUUGGACGGUCUGCCUUUGGUUUGUACUGUCCUGACUGGGUCUUACCUUCUGGUGAGCUGUCGUGUUGUUUACUCAGUGCGG